rnacentral:rRNA from 2 species
AAAUUGAAGAGUUUGAUCAUGGCUCAGAUUGAACGCUGGCGGCAGGCCUAACACAUGCAAGUCGAACGGUAACAGGAAGCAGCUUGCUGCUUUGCUGACGAGUGGCGGACGGGUGAGUAAUGUCUGGGAAACUGCCUGAUGGAGGGGGAUAACUACUGGAAACGGUGGCUAAUACCGCAUAACGUCGCAAGACCA